AGUCCUGCUCCUUCCCGGUUACGUCCCUUCCAGCCCUUGGCGGAGUCUGCGGGCGAGAGGGCGCAGGUGCAGAGGUGCCGCCGGCGGCGUGCGGCUGCGAAGGAAGGGACCCCGACACCGAGCGUUCCUGCGGACGCUCCUCAACCGGGGGUUGUUCUCCGUGCUCUGGACCCGGCCCUUCCUCACCUAGGACGUCUCGCGGUGCACUGUCCCCCUCUCUCGGGCGACUUUUCCCCCACCUCCAAGUAGUGAUCAAGCUCAGAAUCCAGCUCGCGCCCGCUGUGCACCUAGCACUUCCCACCUGUAGUCUUUUGACCUCAUCGCCCCCUCUAGAAGGCUGCUGCCAUCGCUUAAAUGAGGAAGCCGAGGUGCAGAGAGGUUUCAGACCUAUUGCGGUGGAGCUGGAGUUCGAGAACCAACCACUCGGUGCUGAGACGCGCUUGCGGAACGGGCGGCGGGCGGGGGUGAAGCGGAGUGAGGGGAGAGGCCAGGUGCGACCCGGGCAGGUGAGGAGCACGGGCCCGGAGGGAGGACUUACGAGAAUGGAAAGGAAAGCAGCCCGUCUUCAGUGGGACAGUGGGAGCAUUAAGAUGUCAGAGAAUGAGCAGUUGUGGGAAGAGCCAUAGGGUAUUUUAUUUUUUAGAGAUGGGGUUUUGCUCUGUCGCCCAGGCUGCAACCUCGACCUCCCGGGCUCAAGCGAUCCUCCUGCCUCAGCCUCCCGAGUAACUGGGACUACAAGCAACGCGCCACCACACUAAAUCUUUAAUUUUUUGGGGGGUGGUUGAAGGUGGGGGCGGGACAGGGUCUCUCUCCGUCUCCCAGGCCAGAGUGCAGUGGCGCAAUUACGGCCCGACUCCUGGGCUCAAGCGAUCCUCCCACCUCAGCCUCCGGAGUAGCUGGGACCACAGGCGCCCACCACCACGCCCAGCUAGUUUUUGUAUUUUUUUGUAGAGGUGGUGUUUUGCCAUGUUUCCCAGGCUGGUCUUGAACUCCUGAGCGCAAGUGAUCCACCCGUCUCAGCCUUCCAAAGUGCUGGGAUUACAGGUGUCAGCCACCACGCCCGGCCCUAAAUAUUUUUUUAAAAGUUGGAUUUUUCAUGGUGCCCAAGGGAAGAGACACUCCUUUCCUUUUACUAAGACCAUUUCUUUUAGAAAACUUUGUAAUAGGAAAAUCUUUCUUUGCCCUCUUGAAAUGUAUGUAAAUUUUUUAAAAAGCUGCAUAAGCCUCUUGCCAGUUUUAUAAACCAGGAAUUUCUUUCUUAAGGACCUUUCUUAAGGACCUUGGAGUGAUUUCUUUGAAAUAAAAAGGCCAAGGAAGAUAGCUUCCCUCCUUGUCUCUGUGGGAGUUUAGCAGAUGGCUGGCUCCAAGUUGCAAUUACCUGCUUGUCAUAGAGACAUGAGGUUUAUUUUAACUUUGGAUAAAGGCAGUUAGCUAACACAGAUGGCCGCCCCAAGUACCACGUACCUGCCUUCUCGUUUAGAAACACUGUGGGCAUUAGGGGCAACUCAUGCAGAAGACCCAGGAAUCUUCCAGGUAUACUCCAUGGGAUGCCUGUUCCACUCUGGCCCAUUGGCACAAGCUAGCCUUUUCUUUUAAGGAUAGUGGGGUCCGUUCUGAGAGCGGCCUUUGCAACAUCUCACUUCCCCUGUUGACUGUUAUUUCUUUUCUUCCUGCUUUCCUACUCCCUUGAUCCCAAACUCACUAGGGGUAUUUAGUGAGCACUUACUGUUGCAGUAAGACUCUAGCCAAGGAAGACGAAGAGACAGUUGGAGACCAAAGAGAACUUCAAUUCGGGCACCCGAGCCUAGAGCAGGCUCAUGCCCAAAAUGGCUACCGACCCAGACAAAGAAAGCAGGCUUGCUUAUAUGUCGUUUCAGGCGUGAAAAACAAGGCAGGAUACAAGUUUCAGACAAAGACAGUAAAUUAUUCAACCUGUGACAAUUCUGAGAAAACUUACAUUUAGUUAUCUUGACCAGUCAACCUUGAAGCUGGACAGAGCUGGGGUAAGGGAAAACAGGAAUUACGGAAGUAUGAGGGAGUCGCGAGGCCGGAGAUAAGCUUGGAAGGUUGAGAUAAGCUCGCAGGUGCAACUUCUUAGCAAUGCUGAGAGUGGCUGCUUAAAUUUCUUAGCCUAUGUAUAACUUCUAAAUAGCCUACACUAAAUGGUAACUAUUACCUAUGUUGUGUUUGUUAUUUUAAACUUUAAUGUUAUUUAUUUUAUUUCAUUUUCCUUCCACAUUACCUCUGCUGUUAGCAGCUUUGAGAAAUGCUGCUAUAGGAUGUGGGAAGUCAUUAAAGGAUUUAAGCAGGGAGAGGCAAGAUCAGAUUAACAUUUCAGAAAAAUAUUUACUGUUUUCCAGCUGAAACUAGUAGAGUACAAUUUACUUUCUGGUCACAGCACACAGCAGUCACAUCCUGGAGGAACUGUACUUCUCUAAGAUCUAGUCUGUCCUGUGGUUUAAAUGACCUUUAGCAAAUUGUCUUUAUUACUUUGUACACUGCUUUCACCAGUCUGCUCUUCCAUGGCUAACGGGGCAGAACUGUUAUUUUUAGGGUUUUCCACAUCCAGUAUGUUCAUAAGAUUUCUACCCUGUGUGAACUUCCAGAUGUCGAAUAAAGGCUGGAUGCUGACCAAAGACCUUUCCACAUUUUUUACAUGUGUGUAGGGUUGCUCACCAGUAGUAUUCCCCUGAUGCUUCAUAAUGGUUGAUCCCAGAGAGAAUGCCCUUUCACACUCAUUACAUUCAUAGGGUUUCUGUCCAGUGUGAGUUCUGUGAUGGGAAAUUAGGUUAGAACUUUAAACAAAGGCCUUUCCACGUUUGUUACACUGAUAAGGCUUAUUUCCAAUGUGGAUUCUUUGGUGUUACACAAGAUUAGAGCUGUAGUUGAAGGUUUUCCCACACUCUGCCUUCAUAGAACUUGUCUUUAUAGUGAAAUCUCUGGUGUUUUCUAAAUUGUGUUAGUCCUUCUUAAGGCUUACCAUGUUCACUACACUACACAAUUCCUCUCCAUGGUAACUAUUUGGGUGCUCAUUAAAGGCUGUACUCUGACGUUCUGCAUGUUUUUGAGAUUUCAUUAGGAUGUGGGCUUUCUGGUGAUUGUUAAAAUGUGAGUUAUCUGAAGCUGUGUCCAGAUGAAUUACGUUGAUAGGUUUUCUCUUUUGUGGGAACAUUCAGAUAUGCUACAGGGUUUGAGGUCAAGUCUAGGAUGCUGUCAACAUUGUUAUACUCCUGGCUUUUCUCCCAUGGAAUGUUUUUAUGGAUCACUGUGAUUUAUCUUCACAUGUACUUGACUAGUACUUUCUUAAACAUUUUCUUAGUUUUCCUCUACAAAGAUUUCCCUGAUAUUUCUCUAGUAGACUCACAACUCUGUAGGCUUUAAAAAAGUUGGGUGCUUAGUCAAUAUCUCCUUUUUAACACAUACCACCCACUGUGGUUUCAUGCUUUGGGGGUUCCUUUUGGAGAGGCAACUCUUUGUUAUCUGCCUCACAACCUGAAGCAAUACAGCAAGCAGGAAACAUGGCAUAAUAAAAAGACCACAGCCUUUUAAUUCUAAAGACCAAGAUUCUACAUUUCCUCUUCUCCUUUCCAGACAACUUAGUCCCAAAGGUAUAAAGUAAAGCUGAGCAAGGUAGCAUCCAUACCAGGGCUGGGGGAACCAAAGCAGGAAAGAGCAGCAAGGUGGAGGCCAUCCAUAUAGCAAGACUGGCACAGUGUGUCCAGCCUAAGCAGGCUGAAGAUGUCUUCAUGGAAGGGCAGAGGCAGAAGGGCAAGAGGCAGGGGUUACAGUGAGCCAAGAUUGCACCAUUGCACUCCAGCCUGGGCAACAGAGCAAAACUCUGUCUCAAAAAAAAAAAAAAAAAAAAAAAAAAAAGAUGAAACCCCUAUUUGUAAGACUAAAACUAUAAAACUCUUAGAAAAAAAAAAGGCAUAAAUUUUUGUGACCUAGAGUUCGGCAAUAGUUUCUUAUAAGUGACACCACAAACACAAGCAACCAAAUAAAAGAUAGGUUGGACUUCAAAAUGAAAAACUUUUGUGCUUCAAGAAAUGCCAUCAAGAAAGUGAAAAUACAACCUAUAGAAUGGGAGAAAAUACUUGCAAAUCAUAUAUCUGAUAAGGGCACAAUAUCCAGAAUAUAUAAAUAACUUUUACGACUUGUCUAAACAGACUACCAUAGGCUAAAUGGCUUUGACAACAAUUUAUUUCUCACAGUUCUGGAGGCUGAAGCCCAAGAUCAGGGUGCCAGCUGGCCGUUCUUGGUGAAGGUGGCUCCCUGGUUUGCAGACUGUGGUUUUCACACAGCACCUUUGCCUAGCGGAAAUGGGAAGCCUCGGGCCCUUCAUCCUAAUCCUGUCUUGGGCCUCCACCCUCAUUACCGCAUCUGAACCAUCUCAGUGGGGACUGGGUUUCAACACAGGCAUUUUGUGGUGGAUACAAACAUUCUGCUAUAGCGCAACUCGACAAUAAAAAACAUCCCAACUGUAAAGGAGCUGGAAAGGCAGAAAGCUAAGGUCAGUGGGGGAUGCUCUGAGCGUCUGAAGACAGCGCAGCUAUCCGUAAGGAUCACAUGCGGCUUCCCUCGCCUCCAGCUGCGCAAGGGCAGGUGCGGGCAAGGAAGUCCCACUGGGGCUUUUGGGGACCCAGCACAGCUCGGGCGAGUGGGUGAGGGUAGAGAGGAUGCCUCAGUGCGUCCGGACACCACCGAGACCAUAGUUCUCCAAGGGCACCUAGAGUGGAUCCAGCUGAGUUCAAGUCCAGACGCUGCCUCAGGACUUCUCAGGACCACACUUCCCGCCCAGGUUGUUUCCUCCCUCUGGGAGCAGGAAAGGAGAUGAGUCUUGGGGUGUGCGUGGGACUACUGGCCUGGAGCUGCUGUCAGCUCUGAACCCUCCCCCUCUCUCCAGGAACGCAGUUAGGCUUUUCGCGCUAGUCCCCCGGUAGGGCUGGCCGUCUGGGGCGCUCGGGCUUCCUUCCCUGACGGGCUGCAGGGUCUUUUGUGGCGUUUCUGUCUCCUUCGCCGCAGUGUGAUCUAUUGUUAACAGGGGUAAAUCCACAUGGGUCUGCUGCAGCCUCAAUUCUUGCCUCCUCAGAAGAAAGAAUUUGACGGAGAGGCAUGAAGCAUAAGGCAGAGGGAAAGAUGGAGGCAAGUUUUAGAGCAGGAGUGAACAUUUACUAAAAAGCUUUAGAGCAGGAACAAAAGGAAGCGAAGUACACUUGGAAGAAGGCCAAGUGGGCCACUCAAGAGAUUAAGUGCACGGUUUGACCCUUGACUUGGGGUUUUAUACACUGGCAAGGUUGUGGCGGUCGGGGGUUGGGGAGCAUCCCUUCUCCUCUGAUUCCUCCCUUGGGGUGGGCUGUCCACAUGUGCAGGGUGGAAGUGGGGACACAUGCCCAGUGUGUUUACUGGAGUUGUGUGUAUGCUCACUUAAGGUGUUUCUUUCCUUACCAGUUGAGUCUUCUAAUAAGGUAUCAACCGGUUAAACUCUGCCACUUCACCGCCCUGUGUGCAUGCUCAAGCCCACUUGCCCAACUCCUAAGAUCUCAUUGGGAAGCUGCUGAUCACCAGCUUCAGGUUUUUUCUAUCUGUUGGGAGACUGCCUUUCCCUUGUGCUGGCAGCAACCAAUUCUUAUUUGAGAGAGACAACUAACAACUACCUGACUGUCCCCUGAUGGUCACCUGGUGUUCCUGGUGGGUGGGAGGGCUCUCCUGACUGCCUGACUACCUACUGUAACACUAUCACCCCCACUGAAGCUCCCGAGCUCUUGUGGAAGACGUUAUCCACUGAGCCUGUUCCCAAGAAGCAAGAUUUUGACUUUACUAAACCCUCCACAAUCUGUCAGAUACAGCGCUGCAUGGAUAAAUAGCUGUGGAUGACUGACCCAGGAAGGUGCUGGGGUAAGCGGGCUCCUGAGAGACAAACAUGCUCGAGAGAGAACUUUCUAUUCAGUCAGCCUUUGAGCAAACGCUUCUGUUACAUACAGCAGGCAUGGUGUAUUAGUCUUGUCUUAGGCCGGGCGCAGUGGCUCAUGCCUGUAAUCCCAGCACUUUGGGAGGCUGAGGUGGGCAGAUCACAAGGUCAGGAGAUCGAGAACAUCCUGGCUAACACGGUGAAACCCCAUCUCUACUAAAAAUACAAAAAGUUAGCCAGGCAAGGUGGUGGGUGCCUGUAGUCCCAGCUACGAGGCAGGAGAAUGGUGGGAACCUGGGAGGCAGAGCUUGCAGUGAGCCGAGAUCAUGCCACUGCACUCCAGCCUGGGUGACAGAGCGAGACUCCAUC
rnacentral:lncRNA from 1 species